AGUAUAGCUAGCGGACAGUGCCACCAGCAAAAUUUUAUCGGCUUCAGUGCUAAAUCGUCAGUUGGUCUAGGUUGGUCUGUAUUUGUGCAAUACUCCAAAGUGACUUAAAAAUGGAGUGUAAUAGAGAAGAUGCUGAAAAGUUGGUGGAAAGAGCCAAACGUUUAAUCGUGAAACGAGAAUUGGAAACUGCUAGGCGUUUGCUCCAAAGAGCUCAAAACAUGUAUCCUACUGAAAGGGCUAGAGCUAUGUUAAAAAAUAUCACGCCACCCGAAUAUACUGCGGAACAGGUAAUGGAGGUUCAACGUGUUUUGAAUGCUCAGGAUUCGUACGAAAUACUUGCCGUGGAACAAUCAGCAACAAAGGAAGACGUUCAGAAAUCGUUCAAAAAAUUAUCAUUGGUAUUACACCCGGAUAAAAACAAAGCACCGAAUUCAGGGGAAGCAUUUCGUUUGUUGGCAGAAGCAAAAGAAAAAUUACAGAAUAUUUUGGAAAUCAGGAAAACCAGGAAAUCAAGAAAUCAGUAAUUGAAAAUAAGUGAAUUCUAUAACUCUUACUGCACUUUGCACGAUCAUAGAUACAGAUACGUUCUUAGAGUUGAUUGAAGAACACAUGGAAAAGGCAGCGAAGACUCGAUGUGAUCACUUGCGAUGCUUCUUAACAACUGCCUUAUUUUCCACCAAAUUUAGUACAAUUUAUCAUAAUAAUAAUGUUAAUGGUCAAAACCUAAGUUCAAAUGAUUAGCAGAACCAAAUAAUAGAUACAAAAGAAAAAUAUUAGUAAUUUUGAAAAACUACCACUAAGAUAUGACGCUACACAAUAUACAAUAUGCACACAAUAUAAGCUUUAUCAACUAAUACUUAGCACUUUUGAUAUAUGUUUAUGGUAUCAACAAUAAGAAUAUAUGCCUAGUUGUUACUGACCGCCGAAGUAAAUCGAUAAGUGUCUUUGUUGUUGUUUUAUUUUACAGUAUUAGUGAAUUUUAAAUUUUCUGGGAAUUGUGAUUAGAUUAGAUAAUGCAUAAAAUGCUCCGCUAUACUUGAAAAUGAUGCUGUGUCUGAGUAUAAUUUGUGUCUCAAAACUGAGCGGUCAUACAGUGUUUUUCUGAAAAUGGAGUGUAAUAAAGAAGAUGCCUUAAAACUAACUGAACGGGCAAGGAAGCAUAUUCAAUGGGGAAUGCAACAAUUGGAAACUGCUAAAAUUUUGCUCGAAAAAUCAGAUCGCAUGUACCCAUCGCAAGAUGCCAAAGAUCUCCUAAAGGAGCUUGAGCCACGUGUGUAUACCGAUGAAAACGUACUAGAAAUUCAGCGCAUUUUGCAAACGAAAAAUCCGCACGACAUACUCCAGGUGGAAAAGUAUACGACGGUGGAAAAGAUUCUGAAGGCCUUCAAGAAAUUAUCAUUGCGUUUACACCCGGAUAAAAAUAAGGCACCAGGGGCCAAGGAAGCGUUUCAGGCUUUAAAAGCAGCGAAAGAUCAGUUAUUAAAGUGACAAAUAACGAUAAUCUAAAUUUAUUUGUGUUUUAUAAUUCACAAUUGCAAGUAUUGAUAUGAUAGAAUUAAAAUAUUUUAAUUUAAACACAAAGCUAUAUAGGUACCUGAGAUAAUGUUUUUAUCUGAGUAAUAAUAGAAGCAUUAUUGGAUAUAAACGAUGUGUGUAAAUCAGCGAUUUAUAAUUGAAUAAACUAUUCCGAAAUGAGUUCGCUCAUAAACGGUUUUGUUCGAUCAAUAAACGCUCGUUUACAAUG